rnacentral:rRNA from 1 species
UGGGGAAUAUUGGACAAUGGGGGCAACCCUGAUCCAGCCAUGCCGCGUGUGUGAAGAAGGCCUUUUGGUUGUAAAGCACUUUAAGCAGGGAGGAGAGGCUAAUGGUUAAUACCCAUUAGAUUAGACGUUACCUGCAGAAUAAGCACCGGCUAACUCUGUGCCAGCAGCCGCGGUAAUACAGAGGGUGCGAGCGUUAAUCGGAAUUACUGGGCGUAAAGCGAGUGUAGGUGGCUCAUUAAGUCACAUGUGAAAUCCCCGGGCUUAACCUGGGAACUGCAUGUGAUACUGGUGGUGCUAGAAUAUGUGAGAGGGAAGUAGAAUUCCAGGUGUAGCGGUGAAAUGCGUAGAGAUCUGGAGGAAUACCGAUGGCGAAGGCAGCUUCCUGGCAUAAUAUUGACACUGAGAUUCGAAAGCGUGGGUAGCAAAACAGGAUUAGAUACCCUGGUAGUCCACGCCGUAAACGAUGUCUACUAGCCGUUGGGGUCCUUGAGACUUUAGUGGCGCAGUUAACGCGAUAAGUAGACCG